AGGCCGGGGAUCAGUCGGGGAGAAGGAGGCGAGGGGGCCGCGGAAACGGAGAAGGAAAAGGCGGUGAGAUGUGGGGCCAGGAGCCAAGGAAUGUGGGCGGCCCGGGGAAAGCUGGAAGAGGCAGGGAUCAGAUUUUUCCCCUGGAAGCUCCAGAAGAAACACGACUCUGCUGACACCUUGAUUUUAGACUUCUGGCCUGCAGAACCCUAAGACACGAACCGCGUGUUGCCUUAAGGCACCGACUGUGUGGCUGCAGUAGAUAGAGGCCACAGGAAACUGAUAGAAGCCCAGAGAAGACUCAGUCCGUGCUGAGUCCCCCGGGCUCCCUGCCUCCUGCCCUCGCCCUGACUCCGCUCCUCCAGCCUUCUCGUGCGUUCUGUGAGCUUCCUGAUCUCCCGUGCUGCCCACGCUCUCGGCAACGAGCCCGGCUCUCCCAGGCUCCCCAGCGGGACGUGCCUUCUGCCUCGUGGGGUGGGGUUGACUCCACGGUGGACGGUCCUUCUCUGCCCCGCUUGGGUUGGCAGUUCUGACUCAGACGAGCUGAUAAAAAUGUGCAGAGGAUGGUUUGCUGGGACUUGUCACAAAAUGCUCCAAGGAAGAAUAUUCUUCUGGAUGCACCGAAAGCCAGUCUUCAGGUUCCUUGAGCUGAGGAAAUGUUUCGGAAAAUGUUAAGGGAAAACACAAGAGAAAGAUGAACAGGCACGGAGGAAGCUGGCCGCCUGUCCGUGCUGGGAGCCAAGUGAGCCAGGAGAGAGGCUGGGCUCGCCAGGUGCGCGGUGGCUUUUCCCAGAAGUCUUCCCGCUGUGCCAGAAGAAGUCCUGGAAUCCUGGCUACCCAGUGUGCCAGGAGAAGCGAUGGUUCUGCUGCUCCGAUCAGCCUCCGUGAGGGUGGGCAGCCCACCGGCCUCGGGGCAGGAGGACCGUCCAGGAGCCCAAGCCGAUACCCUCUCCCGAGCCUGUGCUGGAGACUUGCGUCCUCGGCUCCCGGGAGGAAGUGUGAAGGGCUCACGAAUAGAUGGAAAAUGUGGUCCCCCCCACCAGCCACCAGUAAAACACACAUCAGUUACCCACCAAA